AUUGAACGCUGGCGGCAGGCCUAACACAUGCAAGUCGAGCGAGCGGCGGACGGGUGAGUAAUGUAUGGGGACUGCCCGAUAGAGGUGGAUAACUACUGGAAACGGUAGCUAAUACCGCAUACUAUCGGAUAACCCAUAUGGGAUUAGCUAGUAGGUGAGGUAAUGGCUCACCUAGGCGACGAUCCCUAGCUGGUCUGAGAGGAUGAUCAGCCAAACUGGGACGGAGACAGGGCCCAGACUCCUACGGAGGAAGCAGGGGGGAAUAUUGCACAAUGGGAGCAAGCCUGAUGAAGCCAUGCGGGGUGUAUGAAGAAGGCCCUAGGGUUGUAAAGGACUUUCAGUCGGGAGGCGUUACCGACAGAAGAAGCACGGGCUAACUCCGUGCCAGCAGCCGCGGUAAUU
rnacentral:rRNA from 1 species